ACGAACGCUGGCGGCAUGCCUAACCCAUGCCAGUCGAACGAGACCUUCGGGUCUAGUGGCGCACGGGUGCGUAACGCGUGGGAACCUGCCCUUAGGUUCGGAAUAACUCCCCGAAAGGGGUGCUAAUACCGGAUAAUGUCUUCGGACCAAAGGUUUAUCGCCUUUGGAUGGGCCCGCGUUGGAUUAGCUAGUUGGUAGGGUAAAAGCCUACCAAGGCGACGAUCCAUAGCUGGUCUGAGAGGAUGAUCAGCCACACUGGGACUGAGACACGGCCCAGACUCCUACGGGAGGCAGCAGUGGGGAAUAUUGGAAAAUGGGCGAAAGCCUGAUCCAGCAAUGCCGCGUGAGUGAUGAAGGCCUUAGGGUUGUAAAGCUCUUUUACCCGGGAUGAUAAUGACAGUACCGGGAGAAUAAGCGCCGGCUAACUCCGUG
rnacentral:rRNA from 1 species